rnacentral:misc_RNA from 1 species
GAUGAAGAACGCAGCGAAAUGCGAUAAGUAAUGUGAAUUGCAGAAUUCAGUGAAUCAUCGAAUCUUUGAACGCACAUUGCGCCCGCGAGUAUUCUCGCGGGCAUGCCUGUCCGAGCGUCAUUUCAACCCUCAGGCCCCCGGGCCUGGCGUUGGGGAUCGGCGGAAGCCCCCUGCGGGCACAACGCCGUCCCCCAAAUACAGUGGCGGUCCCGCCGCAGCUUCCAUUGCGUAGUAGCUAACACCUCGCAACUGGAGAGCGGCGCGGCCACGCCGUAAAACACCCAACUUCUGAAUGUUGACCUCGAAUCAGGUAGGAAUACCCGCUGAACUUAAGCAUAUCAAUAAGCGGAGGA